rnacentral:rRNA from 1 species
UACAGAGGGUGCAAGCGUUGUUCGGAAUUAUUGGGCGUAAAGAGCGUGUAGGCGGCCCGGUAAGUCCGCUGUGAAAGUCGGGGGCUCAACCCUCGAAUGCCGGUGGAUACUGUCGGGCUAGAGUGCGGAAGAGGCGAGUGGAAUUCCUGGUGUAGCGGUGGAAUGCGCAGAUAUCGGGAGGAACACCAAUUGCGAAGGCAGCUCGCUGGGACGUCACUGACGCUGAGACGCGAAAGCGUGGGGAGCAAACAGG